UGCAAGUCGUACGCUUCUUUUUCCACCGGAGCUUGCUCCACCGGAAAAAGAGGAGUGGCGAACGGGUGAGUAACACGUGGGUAACCUGCCCAUCAGAAGGGGAUAACACUUGGAAACAGGUGCUAAUACCGUAUAACAAUCGAAACCGCAUGGUUUUGAUUUGAAAGGCGCUUUCGGGUGUCGCUGAUGGAUGGACCCGCGGUGCAUUAGCUAGUUGGUGAGGUAACGGCUCACCAAGGCCACGAUGCAUAGCCGACCUGAGAGGGUGAUCGGCCACAUUGGGACUGAGACACGGCCCAAACUCCUACGGGAGGCAGCAGUAGGGAAUCUUCGGCAAUGGACGAAAGUCUGACCGAGCAACGCCGCGUGAGUGAAGAAGGUUUUCGGAUCGUAAAACUCUGUUGUUAGAGAAGAACAAGGAUGAGAGUAACUGUUCAUCCCUUGACGGUAUCUAACCAGAAAGCCACGGCUAACUACGUGCCAGCAGCCGCGGUAAUACGUAGGUGGCAAGCGUUGUCCGGAUUUAUUGGGCGUAAAGCGAGCGCAGGCGGUUUCUUAAGUCUGAUGUGAAAGCCCCCGGCUCAACCGGGGAGGGUCAUUGGAAACUGGGAGACUUGAGUGCAGAAGAGGAGAGUGGAAUUCCAUGUGUAGCGGUGAAAUGCGUAGAUAUAUGGAGGAACACCAGU
rnacentral:rRNA from 1 species